rnacentral:rRNA from 1 species
UACGUAGGUGGCAAGCGUUGUCCGGAAUCACUGGGCGUAAAGGGCGCGUAGGCGGCCUGAUAAGUCGGGGGUGAAAAUCCUGUGGCUCAACCACAGGGCUGCCUCCGAGACUGUCGGGCUCGAGCACAGUAAAGGCAGGUGGAAUUCCGGGUGUAGUGGUGAAAUGCGUAGAGAUCCGGAGGACCCAGAGGCGAAGGCGGCGUCCUGGCCCAUUCUGACGUUCAGACAUGACAGCAUGGG